rnacentral:rRNA from 1 species
GAUGAACGCUGGCGGCGUGCCUAAUACAUGCAAGUCGAGCGAACGGACGAGAAGCUUGCUUCUCUGAUGUUAGCGGCGGACGGGUGAGUAACACGUGGAUAACCUACCUAUAAGACUGGGAUAACUUCGGGAAACCGGAGCUAAUACCGGAUAAUAUUUUGAACCGCAUGGUUCAAAAGUGAAAGACGGUCUUGCUGUCACUUAUAGAUGGAUCCGCGCUGCAUUAGCUAGUUGGUAAGGUAACGGCUUACCAAGGCAACGAUGCAUAGCCGACCUGAGAGGGUGAUCGGCCACACGGGAACGGAGACACGGUCCAGACUCCUACGGGAGGCAGCAGUAGGGAAUCUUCCGCAAUGGGCGAAAGCCUGACGGAGCAACGCCGCGUGAGUGAUGAAGGUCUUCGGAUCGUAAAACUCUGUUAUUAGGGAAGAACAUAUGUGUAAGUAACUGUGCACAUCUUGACGGUACCUAAUCAGAAAGCCACGGCUAACUACGUG